UACGUAGGGGGGCAAGCGUUGUCCGGAUUUAUUGGGCGUAAAGAGCGUGUAGGCGGUCAGGUAGGUCCGUUGUGAAAACUCGAGGCUCAACCUCGAGACGCCGAUGGAAACCAUCUGACUAGAGUCCGGAAGAGGAGAGUGGAAUUCCCGGUGUAGCGGUGAAAUGCGCAGAUAUCAGGAAGAACACCCGUGGCUAAGGCGGCUCUCUAGUACGGUACUGACGCUGAGACGCGAAAGCGUGGGGAUCAAACAGG
rnacentral:rRNA from 1 species